ACAGGAGGCGCAGCAGGAUGCUCUGUGCUAGCUAGUAGGUUUCCGCCAGUGUGGGUACCUAGAGAGAGUCUAGAGUCCUCCGUCUGCCCUAGGCUAGUCCUCUAUCUACUGUGCGUCCUCUCUUUCGAUUAGGUCAUCGCUGCAGAUCCCCAGAGAUCUCCCUUGUGAUUCCUCGUGGUUCCGGGGCUGUUAUGGGACAGUCGGCCCCACGUGAGCCAAGGGAGAAAGAACUCGGUGUCUGGACUCCGGCUGCUUCUUCCCAUUGAUGACACCUGCCUCUUCUGCUCAUAUUUCAUGAGUCAACAUGGCCACUCCUAACUUUGAAGUGACUGUAGACAUUCUAUGUUACAGUGAGCCUAGAAGGAAGAAGAGAAAUAUUUCAGUGAUGCUGUAAGUAUCCUGUACUGUUGAAAGCAGGUGAUUCCCAUCUCCUACUGAGUCACAGAGACCAAGAUCCAGCUGUAGCCUUGGCUGAGAUUGCCGAAACUGUGCCCAAGACUGUAAGACGGAUACUACCCAGCAGAUGAAAAAAUCGACAGUUGACACAAGAGACUUAACUUUCCCAAGAACCUCUAAUGGUCAAGCCAAGACCCAGGAUGCUCCCAUGAUGCCAGGCUGGGAGUUAACAACAAAGAAUAACUGCCAUGGAAGGAUGGUCCUCUUGCCAACUGGCACUUAUCAAAGGACACGGAGGGAGAGGGACAGAGUGCCUAGAUGUGAGCCUUCACCAAGGGUUCUGAAGACCCUACUCCAACGGAGAGUGCUCGGAGGAAGAAAUGAUGCUUUGGAUUGGUCUUUCCUCAAAGCUGGAGCUGUUCAGGGGUGGCAAACAGGGUCCCUGGGAUGCAUCUUCCCUGUUGCUGAUUCCUACGAAUAAAGUUCUAUCGGAUAUUGA